rnacentral:siRNA from 1 species
UAAAAGUGCCUCAUUAUGCUAC